rnacentral:rRNA from 1 species
UACGAGUGCCUCAAGCGUUAUCCGGAAUCAUUGGGUUUAAAGGGUCCGUAGGCGGUUUUGUAAGUCAGUGGUGAAAGCCCAUCGCUCAACGGUGGAACGGCCAUUGAUACUGCAAGACUUGAAUUAUUGGGAAGCAACUAGAAUAUGUAGUGUAGCGGUGAAAUGCUUAGAGAUUACAUGGAAUACCAAUUGCGAAGGCAGGUUGCUACCAAUACAUUGACGCUGAUGGACGAAAGCGUGGGGAGCGAACAGG